rnacentral:tRNA from 1 species
GCAGCCGUGGCCUACUGGUUAGGGCAUCGGGCUUGUAACCAAAGGGUUGCCGGUUCGAUAUCCAACCAGUAGGA